CGACCGCGUACUUUUUGUAUAACGGUCCAGCGAGUUACGAUUCUUGGCAAGGUUAAGCACUUAAGGUGUGGAGCCGAAGGGAAGCCGAGUCUUAAUAGGGCGUUAAGUCAAUGAUCGUAGACCCGAAACCGGGUGACCUAUCCAUGUGCAGGUUGAAGUUACCGUAAAAGGUAAUGGAGGACCGAACUCACAUCAGUUGAAAAUGGUGGAGAUGACGUGUGGAUAGCGGAGAAAUUCCAAUCGAACCCGGAGAUAGCUGGUUCUCCUCGAAAUAGCUUUAGGGCUAGCCUCGAGAAAGUCUAAUGGAGGUAGAGCACUGAAUUGCCUAGGGCGCUUCACAGCGUACCGAAGUAUAUCAAACUCCGAAUGCCAUAUAGAUGAUUCUCGGGAGUCAGACUAUGGGAGAUAAGUUUCAUAGUCAAAAGGGAAAGAGCCCAGACCGUCAGCUAAGGUCCCAAAAUAUAUGUUAAGUGGUAAAGGAUGUGGGAUUUCACAGACAACUAGGAUGUUGGCUUAGAAGCAGCCAUUCAUUCAAAGAGUGCGUAAUAGCUCACUAGUCGAGAGAUCCUGCGCCGAAAAUGUAACGGGGCUAAAACAUAUUACCGAAGCUACGGGUUGAUAGAUUAAUCUAUCAGCGGUAGAGGAGCAUUCCUAACACGACGAAGCUGUACCGUAAGGAGCAGUGGAGAGUUAGGAAGAGAGAAUGCUGGAAUGAGUAGCGAGAGAGAAGUGAGAAUCUUCUCGGCCGAAUAUCUAAGGUUUCCAAAGUAAAGCUGAUCUUCUUUGGGUAAGUCGGGACCUAAGGUGAGGGCGAAAGCCGUAGCCGAUGGACAACAGGUUGAUAUUCCUGUACUACGUAUAAACAGAACUGUGGGGACACGGAAGGAUAGGGAAAUCCAGGAAUGGAAAAACUGGUGCAAGCACAAAGGCUGAAUGGUAGGCAAAUCCGCCAUUCGCGAAGGUUGAAGUGUUACGCGGAUCGAAAUUAAAGUAGAGAAGUUCCUGAAUCCAUGCCGUCGAGAAAAGCCGCUAUAGUUUUAUACGUACCCGUACCGCAAACCGACACAGGUAGAUGAGGAGAGAAUCCUAAGGCCGACGGGAGAAGCGUUGUUAAGGAACUCGGCAAAAUGACCCCGUAACUUCGGGAGAAGGGGUGCCCCAUGCAAAUGGGGCCGCAGAGAAUAGGCCCAAGCGACUGUUUAGCAAAAACACAGGUUUAUGCAAAACCGAAAGGUGAAGUAUAUGAGCUGACGCCUGCCCGGUGCUGGAAGGUUAAGGGGAGUGCUUAGACUUAGGUCGAAGGUGCGAACUUAAGCCCCAGUAAACGGCGGCCGUAACUAUAACGGUCCUAAGGUAGCGAAAUUCCUUGUCGGGUAAGUUCCGACCCGCACGAAAGGCG
rnacentral:rRNA from 1 species